UACGUAGGUGGCAAGCGUUGUCCGGAAUUAUUGGGCGUAAAGCGCGCGCAGGUGGUUUCUUAAGUCUGAUGUGAAAGCCAACGGCUCAACCGUGGAGGGUCAUUGGAAACUGGGGAACUUGAGUGCAGGAGAGAAGAGUGGAAUUCCACGUGUAGCGGUGAAAUGCGUAGAGAUGUGGAGGAACACCAGUGGCGAAGGCGUCUCUUUGGCCUGUAACUGACACUGAGGCGCAAAAGCGUGGGGAGCAAACAGG
rnacentral:rRNA from 1 species